rnacentral:pre_miRNA from 1 species
GAAAACUUGGAAACUACCGUUGGAUCGAGAAAUGGACGUCCGAGAAUCGUCCACGUCACCAUAAGUUAAAAUUUAACUCGCAGAUUCACUCAUGAGUUAAAAUUUUACUAGGAGUUAAUUUUUAACUUAUGUUGACGUGGACGAAUCUCGGACGUCCAUUUCUCGAUCCAACGGUAGUUUCUAAGUUUCC